GUAGGGAAUAUUGGGCAAUGGAUGCAAGUCUGACCCAGCCAUCCCGCGUGCCGGAAGAAGGCCCUCAGGGUUGUAAACGGCUUUUGACGGUGAAGAAUCGACAGGAUGCGUCCUGUUUUGACGGUAGCCGUUGAAUAAGCACCGGCUAACUCCGUGCCAGCAGCCGCGGUAAUACGGAGGGUGCGAGCGUUGUCCGGAUUUAUUGGGUUUAAAGGGUGCGUAGGCUGGAAGGUCAGUCAGCGGUGAAAAGCUGUCGCUUAACGAUAGUAUUGCCGCAGAUACUUCCUUUCUUGGAUGAGGAGGAGGCCACUGGAACGGAUGGUGUAGCGGUGAAAUGCAUAGAUAUCAUCCAGAACACCGAUUGCGAAGGCAGGUGGCUGUACCUUAAUCGACGCUGAUGCACGAAAGCAUGGGGAGCAAACAGGAUUAGAAACCCCAGUAGUCC
rnacentral:rRNA from 1 species